rnacentral:misc_RNA from 1 species
UCCGAGUUGACCCCGGCAGUCUCCCAAGAGUCCCCACCAUUACGUGCUGGCAACAUGGGACAGGGGUUGCGCUCGUUGCGAGACUUAACCCAACAUUUCACAACACGAGCUGACGACAGCCAUGCAGCACCUCUCACUACAUUUCCUUGCGGACACCCCGACCAUUACGUCAGGUUCGUAGGAGUUCAAGCCUAGGUAAGGUUCUGCGCGUUGCUUCGAAUUAAACCACAUAAUCCACCGCUUGUGCGGGCCCCCGUCAAUUUGUUUGAGUUUUAGUCUUGCGACCGUACUCCCCAGGCGGAAUACUUAAUGCGUUAGCUGCGUCACUGAGGGAGUCAAUACCCCCAAUAACUAGUAUUCAUCGUUUACGGCGUGGACUAC